rnacentral:rRNA from 1 species
GAUGAACGCUGGCGGCGUGCCUAAUACAUGCAAGUCGAGCGAACGGACGCGAAGCUUGCUGCUCUGAUGUUAGCGGCGGACGGGUGAGUCACACGUGGAUAACCUACCUAUAAGACUGAGAUAACUUCGAGAAACCGGAGCUAAUACCGGAUAAUAUUUUGAACCGCAUGGUUCAGGAGUGAAAGACGGUCUUGCUGUCACUUAUAGAUGGAUCCGCGCUGCAUUAGCUAGUUGGUAAGGUAACGGCUUACCAAGGCAACGAUGCAUAGCCGACAUGAGAGGCUGAUCGCCCACACUGGAACUUGGCCACGGUCCAGACUCCUACGGGAGGCAGCAGUAGGGAACCUUCCGCAAUGGGCGAAAGCCUUACGGAGCGACGCCGCGUGAGUGAUGGAGGUCUUCGGAUCGUAAAACCCUGUUACUAGUGAAGAACAUAUGUGUAAGUAACUGAGCACAUCUUGACGGUACCUGAUCAGAAAGCCACGGCUAACUACGUG